CUCCGCACCUGAGCGCCGUCUCACUCGCUGGAGGUCACUGUCGGCCGUAAGUCGUCUCAUGCGGACCGUAGAGUUUGAUCGGGUGUCUAAUGGGGGGGAAACUGCCCGAUGGAGGGGGAUAACUACUGGAAACGGUAGCUAAUACCGCAUAACGUCGCAAGACCAAAGAGGGGGACCUUCGGGCCUCUUGCCAUCGGAUGUGCCCAGAUGGGAUUAGCUAGUAGGUGGGGUAACGGCUCACCUAGGCGACGAUCCCUAGCUGGUCUGAGAGGAUGACCAGCCACACUGGAACUGAGACACGGUCCAGACUCCUACGGGAGGCAGCAGUGGGGAAUAUUGCACAAUGGGCGCAAGCCUGAUGCAGCCAUGCCGCGUGUAUGAAGAAGGCCUUCGGGUUGUAAAGUACUUUCAGCGAGGAGGAAGGCGUUGUGGUUAAUAACCGCAGCGAUUGACGUUACUCGCAGAAGAAGCACCGGCUAACUCCGUGCCAGCAGCCGCGGUAAUACGGAGGGUGCAAGCGUUAAUCGGAAUUACUGGGCGUAAAGCGCACGCAGGCGGUCUGUCAAGUCGGAUGU
rnacentral:rRNA from 1 species